rnacentral:rRNA from 1 species
AGAGUUUGAUCCUGGCUCAGAACGAACGCUGGCGGCAUGCCUAACACAUGCAAGUCGAACGAGACCUUCGGGUCUAGUGGCGCACGGGUGCGUAACGCGUGGGAACCUGCCUUUUGGUUCGGAAUAACAGUGAGAAAUUACUGCUAAUACCGGAUAAUGUCUUCGGACCAAAGAUUUAUCGCCAUUAGAUGGGCCCGCGUAAGAUUAGCUAGUUGGUGGGGUAAAGGCCUACCAAGGCGACGAUCUUUAGCUGGUCUGAGAGGAUGAUCAGCCACACUGGGACUGAGACACGGCCCAGACUCCUACGGGAGGCAGCAGUGGGGAAUAUUGGACAAUGGGCGAAAGCCUGAUCCAGCAAUGCCGCGUGAGUGAUGAAGGCCUUAGGGUUGUAAAGCUCUUUUACUGGGGAUGAUAAUGACAGUACCCAGAGAAUAG